UCCACUUGAUUACAUUACACGAAGAAAUAACUCUUCCUCUAUUACCACUCUUCCCGGAAAAUAUGAUACACAAAAUAAAGCAAAUUGACAUGACACAAAUUCAUUGGUUUAUUUUACUUUAUCAUUUCCCAAGUUACUUCAAUAUAAGAAAACUACAUCCAAAACCAUGGUUUACACCACAUAUCAGACUAUAUAUUCGAAACUUCCAUUCCAAAUUUUUUCCCACAGCCUUCACUCGUCCCACCUCCCUCUCCAAUGAAGCAAAGCCAGAGCCACAGGCGGCUAGAUCAAUAUCUUUAUAGCAUUUAAAGGGGAAACUAAUGACAUAAUACCAAUGAGGCAAAACCAGAAAUGUUGUCAUUGUUAUUCAUUAGAAUUUAGAAGGGGCUAGGAAUAGAAGAAUUCAGAAUUACAAAGAUCGGCUGUAAUUUCAAAAACCAAGCUCAAUAGAGUUCCAAGCUUCCCAGCUAUUUCUGUAGAAAAUGAAAUUGAUAGUGGUCACUAGGCAGCUACGAUGAAGCAAGCUGAGGGAUGUUCAAACUAGAGUAACAAGAAUCAUAGGCAGAUGGAUAUGUGCAUACACUCUAUGCUCGAGCUACUAAUAAAUUCUCUCUCUCUCUGUAUCUUUGUGUGCAUGUUCUUUUUUUCUUUUCCUAAUUCUUGUCACUUUGUUUACUUUACUGCGCAUCGUUUUAGACACAAAAGAAAAACUUGCCAUGUAAUACCCAACAUACCACAAUUGAA
rnacentral:lncRNA from 1 species